rnacentral:rRNA from 1 species
AUUGAACGCUGGCGGCAUGCCUAACACAUGCAAGUCGAACGGCAGCACAGAUAUAGUUUACUAUAUUGGGUGGCGAGUGGCGGACGGGUGAGUAACGCGUGGGUAUAUGACCUAAUGACGGGGACAACUUGCGGAAACGCGAGCUAAUACCGGAUAAGCUCUGAGGAGGAAAGCUGGGGAUCUGGCGACAGACCUGGCGCUUUAGGAGUAACCUGCGUCCAAUUAGCUAGUUGGUAGGGUAAAGGCCUACCAAGGCGACGAUUGGUAGCUGGUCUGAGAGGACGGACAGCCACACUGGGACUGAGACACGGCCCAGACUCCUACGGGAGGCAGCAGUGGGGAAUAUUGGACAAUGGGGGGAACCCGGUACGAUCCACGCAAUAGCCGCGUGUGUGAAGAAGG